AGCAGUGAGGAAUAUUGGUCAAUAGCCUAAGGGCUGAACCAGCAACUUGGAGGAAUGUAUGGUUAAAGCUAAUUGUAGCAUAAAUUAUGGCACAAUAUCGAUUUAAUCGAAUAAAAUUCUGGGUAAAAUUUGAAAGUGACAAUUUUUAUCUAUAUUUCUUGACCAAACCACGUGCCAGCAGUCGCGGCAAUACGUAGUARAUAARUGUUAUUCAUCUUUAUUAGGUUUAAAGGGUACCUAGACAGCAAAUCAAGCUUUUAUAUAUACAUUAAUUAGUACUAAUUUGCUAGAGUUACUUCUGAGGGGGCUCAAAAGUACUAUCGGUGUAGAGAUAAAAUUCAUUAAUACCCUAUCUUAGAAAUUAAUGGCACUGGUAAAAGUGAAAGCAUCCUCUUAUGUGAUAACUGACGUUGAGGGACGAAGGCUUUGGUAACAAACAGGAUUAGAUACCCUAAUAGUCAAGGCAGAAAAUGAUGAGUGUCAUAGAUUAGGUAAUACUUAUUCUAUAAAUUAAAGUGUAAGCACUCCACCUCAAGAGUAAUUUGGCAACAUUGGAACUGAAAUCAUUAGACCGUUUCUGAAACCAGUAGUGAAGUAUGUUGCUUAAUUAGAUGGUACGCAAAGCACCUUACCACAAUUUGAAUAGAUACUAAUAAUAAUUAUUAAUAAUUUUUUAAUAAAAAGUAUUAAGCGUUUUUUUUUAAGAUUUCGUUUACAGGUGUUGCACGGUUG
rnacentral:rRNA from 1 species